GCUGGGCAUGGUGGCUUAUGCCCAUAAUCCCAGCACUUUGGGAGGCUGAGAUGGGAGGAUUGCUUGAGGCCAGGAGUUCGAGACCAGCCUGGUCAACAAAGCAAGACCCCAUCUCAA
rnacentral:SRP_RNA from 1 species